GCCUGGGUGGUUCAGUCGGUUAAGCGUCUGACUUCAGCUCAGGUCAUGAUCUCACAGUUCGUGAGUUCGAGCCCCACAUCAGGCU
rnacentral:tRNA from 1 species